UAAUGGGGGGCAGCCUGAUCCAGCCAUGCCGCGUGUGCGAUGAAGGCCUUCGGGUUGUAAAGCACUUUUGGCAGGAAAGAAACGUCGCGGGUUAAUACCCCGCGAAACUGACGGUACCUGCAGAAUAAGCACCGGCUAACUACGUGCCAGCAGCCGCGGUAAUACGUAGGGUGCAAGCGUUAAUCGGAAUUACUGGGCGUAAAGCGUGCGCAGGCGGUUCGGAAAGAAAGAUGUGAAAUCCCAGAGCUUAACUUUGGAACUGCAUUUUUAACUACCGGGCUAGAGUGUGUCAGAGGGAGGUGGAAUUCCGCGUGUAGCAGUGAAAUGCGUAAAUAUGCGGAGGAACACCGAUGGCGAAGGCAGCCUCCUGGGAUAACACUGACGCUCAUGCACGAAAGCGUGGGGAGCAAACAGGAUUAAAUACCCUGGUAGUCCACGCCCUAAACGAUGUCAACUAGCUGUUGGGGCCUUCGGGCCUUGGUAGCGCAGCUAACGCGUGAAGUUGACCGCCUGGGGAAUUACGGGUCGCAGAUUACCCCCAAAGGAAUUUUUGGACGGGA
rnacentral:rRNA from 1 species